AGACAUGUGGAAGUGUACGAAUGGGGAGCUGCGUGAGUCGGAGGAGAAAGUGCAGCUGCUGUUGACACAUGACGACCAUGUGAAGAAGCUGAGCAAUCUGUUGAUGUUGGAGAUCAUGACGGAAUCCUCACAACGCACCAAUCUCGCCUCAAAGGCCAUAAAAGAAGCCCUGGAUAAAAUUGACCUGCAUAAACAUGCGGUUUCAACGACGACCAUAGAAAGCCAGACCGCUUCGACCUACAGUUUAGUGUUGAACAAGUCUCUAGACACUGUCGCACAAAGAAAUAGUCCCAAGCAAGCAAAACUGCCUCAUAUUGCCCAUCGAUAACUGGACAUUUAGAUAAAAAAUUUAAUGUUUUUUUUGUAAAUAAAUUGUAAAUUUGUAUCUAUCCAAAUUGUGAAUUGCAUUGCAGAUAGUGUUCGAGGUUAAAAGGUUUAUAGGUGUAGUUUAAA